UCCGAGAACUCUUGCUCUGCCUUCUCUCUACCUCUCUAGCAACACAGGUCCUGCUACACACUUUCUUGCUUUUCAUUUUCUGUAGUUUCAUUCUUUUUUUUUUUUUUCUCUCCAGCGACUUUGAAGCCCGUUGCUUCAGGAUGAUUCUUCAUCAGCAUCUGCCGAUUUCAUUUUUCAAUCUUUUGAAUCAUUUUCGAUAAUUCCCUGUGAGCGAUAUUGUUUAAAAAAACCCUAAACAAACCAUGCUUUCAACAACGGAACUCAUUCUAUAAUCCAUAAAUGGAGUACCACAAGUCGUCACAAGAAAUAUGAGCCACAAAUUUAGGAAAAAUCCAUCAUCAAACAACUACGGAUCUGUUUAGAAACGAAGCACCCAUAGUGGUGACAAUGACUCUACGAAAUAGACCUGAGGAAAAUCCAGAUGAGAAAAGCUUCAAUUGUAUAAGACCUGAGGAAAAUCCAGAUGAGAAAAGCUUCAAUUGUAUAAGGUAACCGUAUUUCAUAAGUUGUUUUAAUUUAUGAAAUUUAUUGAUUGUGUUAAAAAAAUCAUUUUUUUAAUUUGUCCCUGUUCUGUUGGUAUAAAAUAUAAAUUUAUAAAGAUUUUGUUAAAAUUUUUAUUUGAAAAUAUUGACCAAUUUAAAGUGUAAUAUAAAUAUAUUUUGAAGUAAUAUAUGUUGCAGAUUUCAGAAAAAAAAAAACAAAAUUCCUUCUAUGAAGCGCACAUGAAUAUCCUUGCAAUAAUUUUUUUAACAUAUCAGUUUGGUCAUUUGUUUAUGUAUUCUUAAGGUAGCCAAAAAAAUUCAUAGUACCUUUAUUUGCAUCUAUUUCCUUCUUCCCUGUGCAGCCUAUGGUAACUGAUCCCUUGAGUGUCUACUGCAUUAUCAAUUUUUGACUUGAUUUCUUGCAACUGAACUUCUUGUACUGCAGUAUGUUUUAAUGCUUUGAAUGCAUUCCUGGUAAAAUGUACCAUAGAUGACCUGCUUAACCUUGAAAA